UGGGGAACCUUGCGCAAUGGGCGAAAGCCUGACGCAGCAACGCCGCGUGCGGGAAGAAGGUCUUAGGGUUGUAAACCGCUUUCAGCAGGUACGAAGGCGUUCGGGUUAAUAGCCCGGAGGUUGACGGUACCUGCAGAAGAAGGUCCGGCUAACUACGUG
rnacentral:rRNA from 1 species